AGAGAGUAGGCCCGCAGCCGUCCGCCAUUGUCCUGUCCCCGCACCCCUCUGGACCAAGCUUGGCUACUCCCGGUCUAUCCCCGCCACAGAGGCGCGCCUACCAGAUGCCAGCCCAUGAGAGGCCCCAGGAGUGCAAAGGUGAACAAAACGGGGUAGACAAGCUAGAAGACCCCAGGCCUGGGCCUGCAAGCUGAGGGGCACAGCCAUGGUCAAAAAUACCUGGAGUGGGCUGUGGAGGCCAGAGCGGUGUUUGAAAUGUCAGACCUCUCUGUCUUGAGGCCCUGGCUACACUGUGCUAGGCUGGACCUGUCUUCAGGAUCACCUGGGUCACCAGUGUCCUCCAAGCCAGCCCAGAACUGGCACCUGGGAGCCAGGAGAACACGGUAGGAAGAGACCAUGGAUGCACAGCGAGCCCUGAGUGAGAAGUUAACUUGGCUUCACCGGCCUGCUUCUGUGGUCCCAGGCUUUCUCUUGGAAGCCAAAAAUACCCCCAAAUCAUGGUUUGCUUUUUAAGUUUUUCUCUAACAGCAUUUACAUAAAUUCCCAAUGGAAAUUUCCCCCUUUGAAGGUUGAGGGGUAUUUCUCUUUCAGUGUUUCCAAAAGUCCUGUUAAAUGAAGUCAGGGGAUUUACAAGCAGAAGUGACCGCCCCCCACCCCCAGGACACGGUUGGGUUUGUCAGCCUUCCUCUCCUCCCAGCUGGGCAGGGUACUGGGUGGCAUUAAAGAAAGACCUCAGCGGGCAGUGACAGGGCCCUGAUGGAUGGGGCCAUGGCCUUCCAGCCGUAGUCCUGGACUGGAGCGGACAGCAUGCUGUUCUGGAGUCAGCAGCCUCUAGGUCCUCAUGCCUGGUCACUUAGCAACAAGAUUCAAGCUCUAUCUUCAGAGUUCACCACUUCCUCCUUUCCUUCCUCAGAAAUUUGGGUCCAAAUAGCAUGGAAUGUUUUAACCUUUAAAGGUUAACUUCUGAAACAGCCUGCUCCAAGUAAGAAUUAGCCUUUUGUGAGUGAUCAGGCUCCAAACCCAAGGUGAUUAUUGUCUUUUUAAAAAAUGCACCCCUUUGACCGCAAAGACAAGAGAUACUCAGCAUUGUAAAAGAACACACAACUAGGCAUUUAGAUUUUUUGGUAAGGUCAGUAUCAUACAUCGUAUGUACAAAAUUGACAUAAGAAGGAGAAAGUAGCUUUUCAAAACUCCUAACACACUCAGGAUAACUCUUAAAUCAAUAACGUUUUGCAAAAUUGUAUUUUAUCCGGGAGGGUUCAAUUUCAAUGAACUGUUUUAAUUUAUGACUUUUGAAGUAUUAUAUGUAUGGCAAUUAACCAAUUUGUUGAUUUAGUUGAAUAAUUUGUCUUUGAGCCAUUUAAAAAAAAAAAAAAAUUCCCUACUUUAGCUAUAUUUCUCGAAUAGGCCACCCGGCUUUAACAACCUGCAACAGGAAGAUCUUUCAAAAUUGCAAGCAGUGUAUUUAAAGACUGAAGACAGAAUGUGCCUGUAAUGCUCCCCCUACUCCAAACUGUGUCUGGAAGGUGGGGGUGGGGGGAGGUGAGACCUAAUGGUGGAAGGAACUCAAACCAGCCCCUUUGCUCAUCGAGUAAGUAAUUAGGGUACCCCCUCCCAGGGUAGAUAGAAUGGCAGAAUGAUUUUAAACAUUUCACAUUGUCUGGAAUUUUGCACACAGUUACCAUUCACUUUCGUUAUUAUUAAAAUUAAAAUAUCCAUUUGC